rnacentral:rRNA from 1 species
UACGUAGGGACCGAGCGUUGUCCGGAUUCAUUGGGCGUAAAGAGCUCGUAGGUGGCCAACUAAGUCGGACGUGAAAUCCCUCAGCUUAACUGGGGGACUGCGUCCGAUACUGGAUGGCUUGAGUUUGGGAGAGGGAUGCGGAAUUCCAGGUGUAGCGGUGAAAUGCGUAGAUAUCUGGAGGAACACCGGUGGCGAAGGCGGCAUCCUGGACCGAGAUUGACGCUGAUGCGCGAAAGCCAGGGGAGCAAACGGG